GAGUGUGAUUAUUGACUAUAUGGCACAUCUGUAUGUUUACCAUCUGUAUAACCAGCCAUCAGCAUUUGAUUACUGACUAGAUGAGCAUCUAUCAGUGUGAAUGCUGUAUUUCUAGCUGUUUGGAAGUUUUUUCUCUCUGUCCUGCAUUUGUCACGUCCCAGUUUUCUUAGUCACUCAGUUCCCAUGCAGUUCACCACACCUUCAAUUAAUUAGCCUCAAUUAGCCACAGACUUUAUUAGGCAGCACCUGAAUACAUAGCCUCAUCCUUUUUGUUCAUGCCACAUGGAGUAAUCCUAGUGUGUUGCUGCUUGAAAUGCCAUGUCUUCUGGCUUUUGUGCGUUACUGAACUAUAAGCCAUUCCCUCUGGACUGAACACAGCUGCUGCUGCUUUCCACUAACACAUAGAACGGUUUGACGAUAUGAGGGGGAGGAGGAAGAAAGAAGUCUGUUCUCAAAGCAAAAACAUGGAUGCUGACUAUGAAGUGCAGAAUCAUCAUCGAGACACAACAGCUAACAGACUCCUCUUCAGCAUUUGCUGUCCAUCGUGUCGAAAUUCAGAACUAGGUAA